UACGGAGGGUGCAAGCGUUAUCCGGAUUCACUGGGUUUAAAGGGUGCGUAGGAGGGCAGGUAAGUCAGUGGUGAAAUCUCCAAGCUUAACUUGGAAACUGCCGGUGAUACUAUCUGUCUUGAAUACCGUGGAGGUGAGCGGAAUAUGUCAUGUAGCGGUGAAAUGCUUAGAUAUGACAUAGAACACCAAUUGCGAAGGCAGUUCGCUACACGAAUAUUGACUCUGAGGCACGAAAGCGUGGGGAUCAAACAGG
rnacentral:rRNA from 1 species